rnacentral:lncRNA from 1 species
CUUGAUCUGACUUCCCUUAGCUGCAUCAGGUAGCAAAGGGAUUUAAGUCAAACUGACACUGGUUGGAGUGGUUCCCACAGAUAAAACUGUCUGGCUAUGCUGGCACUGAGAGGAAAAGGAUAUAUUUGUAUACCAUUAAUGUUUUAUAUCUCUAGACUUUUCCUCCUUCUCCCUUCAAGAUCAGCGACGGUGACCAUUGUUCAGAGCCUACAUAAAGCCUUUCAACAAUACAACUUACUACAGUCAUUUUAAAAGAAAUCGUGGAGCAUAGUGAGGUUAAUGAAGAAGCUGAAGAGACACUGGUUUUAAAUUGGAACAGGAAUGAAGGUAAAUAGCAAAGAUGUCACAGAAAGGAAAGAGCAUGCCAGGCCACCCCAUCACUGAGCAGGGUAUCACAGUGCAGAGACAAGUCCCGACACCAGAUCCCAGCGCUCUCUGCCAGCUGUCUGCCUGCAGGCAUCCUCCUGCCAGGAGCCAGAGUCAACCUGCCUGCCCUGCCCCACUGCUCCUGUGGCCCGGAAAAGAGGGAGGGUCAGCCCAGAGACAUUGCCUUCAAACACUAAGACUGUGAUGACUCGCACAGCUCCACCUGCCCUCAUAGGCGAGAAAAGCAUGCUCAACACAGGAUGCCUAAUGUGAGGCAUCCAUUUCUAAUCCGAACACUGUGCUUUACACUAGAAUUAGGCUUCUGAACAUCUAGUUCUAGAUGUAAGUACAAACUGAA